rnacentral:rRNA from 1 species
AUGAGGAACAAUCGGAUGUUCCAGUCCCUUGGCAUCGGUGCAAUAGCGUCGAUGAUUAGGAAAACAAUUGGUGUACAAGAAGGUAGAAGUGAUGAGGUUCAAGAAGGUAGUGGAGUUAUCAAUGAUGACCCAGAGUACAAUCCUAAGGAGGAUGAAGUUAUUGAUGGAGAGGAAGUGGAUGAUGUUGUAGUGAACAAGACUGUUAAGGUGCAAACUCUAUCUUGCUUGGAGGAAGAAGAAGAGCUUAGAAACAUCUGCUGCAAUGCCUCCAGGAAGGGUGAUGGCCCUAGCUCCAGGACAAAAAAGAGGAUCCUGGAACCUGAUGAACCUGCCCUUGAUAGAGUCACAAGGCAGAAAGCAAAUAUGGUGACUGCGACGGACCAUCAGGAAAGUCUGCUGCGCAUGGACUCUGAGACAUCGGUGCAAAUGGGUGAUGAGUUGCCGCCCAUGGAUGAAGAUGCAAUGACUACCAAGACUAGACUUAGAAAGGGCAAAGGGCUAGAGAGGAUCACCAAGUCGCUUGGUAGCAAGGUGCCUAUCCAAAUUGCCGAAGGGAUGAAGCGUCCAGAGAAGCCUCUGCAGGCAGCAAAGCUUGCUUCUGAGUGUGGACUCGUUGCAAGAAGCCAUCUUCCGGUUCUUCCUCACUUAAAGCUAUACAAGAAAAAUGCUAGUCUAUUGGAGAAAUACAUUGGGAAAGUUGCUGCAAAUUUUGAGAUGAACACGGACUGGGAGACCAUCAAGACCGCGUGCAAAGAUAUUCUGCAGAAAAAUUCAAAGAACAGACGCCAUCAGAUCAAGAAGAAGUAUUUUGAUACGUUAGCCGCAAAUAAAGUCAGCAUUAAGUCUCCCGUGCCUGAUCUGACGGAUGGUGAAUGGCAAGCUCUGGUGGAGAUGUGGUCUACCCCAAGACACAAGGAAACCUAUGUGUCGAACAAGAUGAAUCGAGAAAAAGUCAUGUACAAUCAGAGAACUGGUUCCAGGCACUACACAGCACACAUUUUUGCCACUAAAGAAGAGCGUAAGGGUGAGGAGCUGUCUGCGAUUGACUUGUUUAAGGCCACCCACAACAGCAAGAAGCACGGGUUUUCGGAGCCAGUCAAGACUGCUAUAGUAAUUUGA